GAUGAAGAACGUAGCGAAAUGCGAUAAGUAAUGUGAAUUGCAGAAUUCAGUGAAUCAUCGAAUCUUUGAACGCACCUUGCGCCCUUUGGCUAUUCCGAAGGGCAUGCCUGUUUGAGUAUCAUGAACACCUCAACUCUCAUGGUUUGCCAUGAUGAGCUUGGACUCUGGGGGUCUUGCUGGCCUAUGGUCAGCUCCUCUCAAAUAAAUCAGCUUGCCAGCGUUUGGUGGCAUCACAGGUGUGAUAACUAUCUACGCUUGUGGUUUUCCAUCAGGUAACCUUCAGUGAUGGAGGUUCGCUGGAGCUCAUAAAUGUCCCUCCUCAGCGAGGACAGCUUUUUGAACAUUUGAUCUCAAAUCAGGUAGGACUACCCGCUGAACUUAAGCAUAUCAAUAAGCGGAGGA
rnacentral:misc_RNA from 1 species